UACGGAGGGUGCAAGCGUUACUCGGAAUCACUGGGCGUAAAGGACGCGUAGGCGGGUUAGUAAGUCAGAUGUGAAAUCCAAUGGCUCAACCAUUGAACUGCAUUUGAAACUACUAACCUAGAGUAUGGGAGGGGGAGAUGGAAUUAGUGGUGUAGGGGUAAAAUCCGUAGAUAUCACUAGGAAUACCGAAAGCGAAGGCGAUCUCCUGGAACAUUACUGACGCUGAGGCGUGAAAGCGUGGGGAGCAAACAGG
rnacentral:rRNA from 1 species